ACGGAAGGCAGCAGUGAGGAAUAUUGGUCAAUGGGCGAGAGCCUGAACCAGCCAAGUCGCGUGAAGGAUGAAGGUUCUAUGGAUUGUAAACUUCUUUUAUUCGAGGGUAAAGUGAGAGAUGCGUCUCUUAUUGCAAGUAUCGAAUGAAUAAGCAUCGGCUAACUCCGUGCCAGCAGCCGCGGUAAUACGGAGGAUGCGAGCGUUAUCCGGAUUUAUUGGGUUUAAAGGGUGCGUAGGCGGAUAAUUAAGUCAGCGGUAAAAGCGUGUGGCUCAACCAUACCGAGCCGUUGAAACUGGUUGUCUUGAGUGUAAACGAGGUAGGCGGAAUGUGACGUGUAGCGGUGAAAUGCUUAGAUAUGUCACAGAACCCCGAUUGCGAAGGCAGCUUACCAGCAUACAACUGACGCUGAGGCACGAAAGCGUGGGUAUCAAACAGGAUUAGAUACCCUGGUA
rnacentral:rRNA from 1 species